AUUCUUCUGUUGUUCAUAAGUUUUAUGAUUGGGGUUUCACGUGCAUGUAUGAGAUGUGCCUCUCUCAAACCUUGUUGUGAUAUCAGCACAUUACUCAUCUGACA
ensembl:snoRNA